CCAUAUCAUAUUGAAACACUGAUUCCCAUACAAUCACUGAAGUUAAGCAAUAUCAAGCUGGUCAGUACCUAGAUGGUUAACUGCUUGGGAAUACCAGGUGCUGUAA